CCUCUGACGUUAGCGGCGGACGGGUGAGUAACACAUGGAUAACCUACCUAUAAGACUGGGAUAACUUCGGGAAACCGGAGCUAAUACCGGAUAAUAUAUUGAACCGCAUGGUUCAAUAGUGAAAGACGGUUUUGCUGUCACUUAUAGAUGGAUCCGCGCCGCAUUAGCUAGUUGGUAAGGUAACGGCUUACCAAGGCAACGAUGCGUAGCCGACCUGAGAGGGUGAUCGGCCACACUGGAACUGAGACACGGUCCAGACUCCUACGGGAGGCAGCAGUAGGGAAUCUUCCGCAAUGGGCGAAAGCUUGACGGAGCAACGCCGCGUGAGUGAUGAAGGUCUUCGGAUCGUAAAACUCUGUUAUUAGGGAAGAACAAAUGUGUAAGUAACUAUGCACGUCUUGACGGUACCUAAUCAGAAAGCCACGGCUAACUACGUGCCAGCAGCCGCGGUAAUACGUAGGUGGCAAGCGUUAUCCGGAAUUAUUGGGCGUAAAGCGCGCGUAGGCGGUUUUUUAAGUCUGACGUGAAAGCCCACGGCUCAACCGUGGAGGGUCAUUGGAAACUGGAAAACUUGAGUGCAGAAGAGGAAAGUGGAAUUCCAUGUGUAGCGGUGAAAUGCGCAGAGAUAUGGAGGAACACCAGUGGCGAAGGCGACUUUCUGGUCUGUAACUGACGCUGAUGUGCGAAAGCGUGGGGAUCAAACAGGAUUAG
rnacentral:rRNA from 1 species